GAUGGAGCAGUGUUUACCUCACUCCAAGUCCUGUAUCACCUCACCUCCUCAUGUGCUGAUCUUCACGAGGCUGAAGCUGAAGUUAGAGAUGUUCACCUAACUGUGAGCCUCACUGACGGGGCUUGUUUUCACAUUGGUUGCCGAACCGUCCAUGUGUUUUCUCAGUCACUCCUACGGCAGGAAUCCUUGAAAGAGGAGCAACCUGCUCAGGAGAAACUCUUCAUCGAAAGUGAGAGGAAGUGCACCCACUACAUCGUCUUCUGGAAAAGGGUCAAUAUUAUCAAAACCACCAAACAUACAUUUUGAAUGGAUAAUCACUAACAGAAAAUAAAAAUAGACAAUUAUUUCAAAUAAAAGGACUAGCACAGAGCUGCUGGGCUCAGACAUUGCCUGGCCUGUGCCUUGUUCAGUAUGGAGAAAUUUAGGUGCCAAGAAACCUGGGAAAUACCAGUCCUUUCAAACAGAGUUCUAAGAAGGUCAUGGACAGUGUGGAGGACUGAAGUCAGGAAUGCACCAGCAUCACUCAUAUUGCUGAAUUAUCCACCAGGAAAGACACUAGGAAGCAAACGAGAGACGGUGUGUGCCAACCCCUUCAUGUCGUGCCUGAGGAAACCGAGCCUCUGUGGUAUUCACUGCUCUGUCCACAUUGCACAACUGGCUGGCAGUAGAGAUAGAACUUGAAAGAAAUGGUCCCUCCUCAGGCCAACUCCAUUUCCGUUAUCCAUUCAGAUCAAUGGCUUAUUCUUGACUCAAGAUCUCAGAUAACUUGGAUCUAAUACUAUGAAACACCAUAGAAAGAACAUUGCCUUGUAAGGUAUGAAAAGGCAAACACACAUACUCGCUAAGUUAACUUAGUUGUGGCUGACUCUGUGCGACCAUAUGGACUUAGCCCUCCAGGCCCCUCUGUCCAUGGGAUUCUCCAGAAAGAACACUGGAGUGGGUGGCCAUGCCCUCCUCCAGGGGAUCAUCAACCUGACUCAGGGACGGAACCUGCAUCUCUUACGUCUGCCUGCAUUGGUAGGUGGGUUCUUUACCGCUAGUGCCACCAGAGGCCUACAUCUGAUGAAGUAGCUGCCCUGAGACACUAUUAUGUUCUGUAAUCUGCCCCCAUGUCUAAUAAAGAGUUCUCUGCAAAAUUUUUAGGAAAAUUC
rnacentral:lncRNA from 1 species